UGGGAUAAGCCUGGGAAACUGGGUCUAAUACCGGAUAGGAGCGUCCACCGCAUGGUGGGUGUUGGAAAGAUUUAUCGGUUUUGGAUGGACUCGCGGCCUAUCAGCUUGUUGGUGAGGUAAUGGCUCACCAAGGCGACGACGGGUAGCCGGCCUGAGAGGGUGACCGGCCACACUGGGACUGAGACACGGCCCAGACUCCUACGGGAGGCAGCAGUGGGGAAUAUUGCACAAUGGGCGAAAGCCUGAUGCAGCGACGCCGCGUGAGGGAUGACGGCUUCGGGUUGUAAACCUCUUUCAGUAGGGAAGAAGCGAAAGUGACGGUACCUGCAGAAGAAGCACCGGCUAACUACGUGCCAGCAGCCGCGGUAAUACGUAGGGUGCGAGCGUUAUCCGGAAUUAUUGGGCGUAAAGAGCUCGUAGGCGGUUUGUCGCGUCUGUCGUGAAAGUCCGGGGCUUAACCCCGGAUCUGCGGUGGGUACGGGCAGACUAGAGUGCAGUAGGGGAGACUGGAAUUCCUGGUGUAGCGGUGGAAUGCGCAGAUAUCAGGAGGAACACCGAUGGCGAAGGCAGGUCUCUGGGCUGUAACUGACGCUGAGGAGCGAAAGCAUGGGGAGCGAACAGGAUUAGAUACCCUGGUAGUCCAUGCCGUAAACGUUGGGCACUAGGUGUGGGGACCAUUCCACGGUUUCCGCGCCGCAGCUAACGCAUUAAGUGCCCCGCCUGGGGAGUA
rnacentral:rRNA from 1 species